UAAAUUAACAGGAUUUUAAUCAUUUUAAGUUGCGUGUCCGAUCGAUGUUGCUAAUUAUUAAUUUUAAAAAUUAAGCUGAUAGAAACACAUAACUAAUUCACUUAAAACGUAUAGAUACGUACGUUUUAACUGUGAUUCGGUUCAACCAAUUUCACGCCACUUCGAACAUGAUUCAACUCAACUCAGUCUCACGCCAUUUCAAACGUGACUUGACCCCCACUGGCCUCAAGCGGAAAAAUGGGAUGUUGAUUCAUUUAAGACAACACUACGCUCGU
rnacentral:lncRNA from 1 species